AUCUCUCCGAUUGUGCGUGCUCCGAGG
rnacentral:sRNA from 1 species